GACGAACGCUGGCGGCGUGCCUAAUACAUGCAAGUAGAACGCACAGUUUAUACCGUAGCUUGCUACACCAUAGACUGUGAGUUGCGAACGGGUGAGUAACGCGUAGGUAACCUGCCUGGUAGCGGGGGAUAACUAUUGGAAACGAUAGCUAAUACCGCAUAAUAUUAAUUAUUGCAUGAUAAUUAAUUGAAAGGUGCAAUUGCACCACUACCAGAUGGACCUGCGUUGUAUUAGCUAGUAGGUGAGGUAACGGCUCACCUAGGCGACGAUACAUAGCCGACCUGAGAGGGUGAUCGGCCACACUGGGACUGAGACACGGCCCAGACUCCUACGGGAGGCAGCAGUAGGGAAUCUUCAGCAAUGGACGAAAGUCUGACCGAGCAACGCCGCGUGAGUGAAGAAGGUUUUCGGAUCGUAAAGCUCUGUUGUAAGAGAAGAACGGGUGUGAGAGUGGAAAGUUCACACUGUGACGGUAUCUUACCAGAAAGAGACGGCUAACUACGUG
rnacentral:rRNA from 1 species